CCCUGUGGAACCUAAGACUGGAAAUCAUAUGUUUUGACAGAGACUGCUGGUUGUUAGUCGUUAGCAUGACUGUUUUCUCUUUUUCUUGGACACUCAGUCGGACUAUACACAGUUAGAUGUGGCCAUGUGACUAAGUUCUAGAAUUAACAUUGGAGUGGAAGUUUCGUACGCCAUAUCCAGGCUGGACCAUUAGAGCCUCUGUGCUCGUUCGCUUUCUACAGACUUAAUGCAGGCAAGCAUGAUGACUCUACAAGCCGUGUGUUGAGGACAGCAGAACCAUAAGAUGGAAGGAGCCUUAAAUCAUUGCUCGUAGGAAAGCCACCUGCAAAUCAGGAACAGUCAUUUUGGACUUUACUUGGGGAAAAAAGAGACGUCUAAUAUGUUUGAGCCAUUAUUCUUCUUGGUUUGAUAAUUACUGCAGCCAGCAUUUCCUCAAUGAAUACAGACGUCUUUGACCAGGUCUUGGUGAACUGGUGAGGAGGCCCUCUGAGAAGAGAGUUUGUAUGCAGAUUUUGGCAGAAAGUUCUGUAAGAAAAAGAUGGUAGGAGAGGAGGACUAGAAGAAGAGCAGAAGUUCUCUUCGAUACCCAGACCCCAGCCCAACUCCACCCUUUGCAGAGAGGUGACGCUCUGUGGAGGAGUGGGGUUCUCCUCACUUCUGCGUGAACAGAGAGUCUUAGGCUGUCUGAAGAACCUCGGUGCCUUAGUGAUGCACAUCUCAGAAUCUGCAAGGGAAGAAUGGCUCUCGGACUCCAGAUUUCUCCCCCUAACUCCAGAAUAUAGAAGAUACGGCUGCUGAGAAGGGAGCCGAGCCCUGUUUACAGCAGCUGGGAGCCAUCCUCACGUUUGAUUGCCACAAUUUUUCUCCCUAAUCAUGCCUGAAAAAUAAAUUUCUU
rnacentral:lncRNA from 1 species